GGGUGCAAUCGUCUUGUCGUUAACUCUCACAAUAUGAAGGUGAUUGAACUAAUGAAGAACGAAGGACAUUCAACGGGACCGACAUCGGCUUUGUUUGAUGACUGAUAUUUUAUAGCUUGUGACUUUUCUUUUAUUAGGUUUGAACAUUGUAAUAGGGAAGCAAAUAAAAUGGCCCAUGAAGAGCCUAUGAGGGACAUUGUACGUUUACUGGUUAACAAUGUAACAAAUAUUUCUAAUCAAUAA
rnacentral:rRNA from 1 species